AGAUUUGCAUCAACAACCACCACCACCACCACCACCACCAGCAUGGCAGUAGUAGCAGGAGUAGUGAAUGGUCACACGUUUGUGGUGACUUCUUGGACUAUCAGGCUGCCCUUGUAGUGUGUUGGACUAUCGGUGAACAAGGAGACCUGAAAGUUACGUGGUACAACUAUUUCGGUGAUAGAAGUGGCUGAGUUGCCGAUCCAAAGGCCUGGCUUAAGAGUGAUCCCGAGCUACCUGUACCAUCAAGAUCAAGAUCGAGCGUCCAUAUCAGAUGGUGAGUCUGCGUACAAAAUUGCAUCGGAGGGAUUGAUAGAGGCAGCCACAAUUAUCCAUCAUCAUCGGCGACACCAUGGCUCUUGAGAAGACAGACAGACAGACCUCGAUGACAGCGUGGUGAGCGAGGAGGGGGAGUCAACCAGCAGAGUAGGGGAGCAUGACCCCUACUUUGAACCAGUGGUGACCUUGCUGGAGGUCUUCGUGGUUAGUGAUGAUGACCAGGAGGAGGAAAUGAUAAGACUGAGUUUCGAGGUCAGGUCAGGCAGUACAAGCUGUUUCAUUAUCACACCCUCUGAGUCGCCCCCACAGUGGAAGGAACGGGGCAUGGAGGCCAUUAACAUUCUGAGGAACAAGCAGAAGAAGGCUGUGGAGUUUGUUCAGUGGCAGAAUUAAUGCCAGUGGCUGAGUUCAGAUCCUCCAACACACACACAUACACACACACACACACACACACACACACACACACACACACACACACACACACACACACACACACACACACACACACACACACACACACACACACACACACACACACACACACAGCAGCCCCUCCACCUCCUCACAGCCCUCCACAGCCUCUGACACAGCCCCUGACACAGCAUCUGACACAGCCCCUUCACAGACCACCACAUACCUCACACACACCACAGGAGUCUCACAAACAGUCUCACAGCCUUCACAAGCAGUCCCACACUCCACCACAGACACACCAGACCCACAGCCCUUCACCUCACCCAUUUCCCAGCUCCCCACAGCCCCUCAGCCACCACAAAUGAAGCCACAAAAGGAAGGGACUGUGGCUUCACCCAACCAGCCAGGAGAGCCUACAGAGAGGGGGCCAGACAGCUUAGUGGCAGAGCUGCAGGUGGCCAUCGUUAGCUUCCUGGUGGUACAGGUGUAGGACGGCUGGGAGCAGUGGAGGUGCCUGGUGGAGCAGCUGUGCCGGGCAGAGGGGCUGCUGCUGCUGCUGGGGAGAGCCACACUUGUAUGGUGGUAACACAGAGAGGAAGUGGAAGAAACCUUGGGACGCUCUCAUAACUCAGGAGCAAUAAGUACACCUUACUGGAAACCUUGUGAUUGACAGGUGGUGGUGACUGCAGGAACCAAUUCAGAUGUCUGUCUUGUGUUGGCGAACGUCCUGUCUGCAGUCAGGCCAGUAGUGCCAUGUUGCAGGGUGUGACAUCAGGUUAAGAGCCAAAUGGAGAGUGUCUGCAGCCAGUACUGGGUGUGCUGAUGCUGUACAAGUGUCGAGCCAGGUGCCACAGCACAUGUCAGCUGACUCCACCAGAGUAGUGUCUCUAGUCCAGGAUGCACUGCUGUGUACGACUUGUAUGUCUUUGCUAAUAAAUAAAUAUUUGUUACUAUUCUUAUUAUAUAUGUGAAAUAAAUAUAUAGUUUGCUAACAGUGUGGUAUAAUAGUGUAAAAAUAAAUAUUUGAUAACAAUUCAUGCAUGCCCCAAAGGUAAAAAAAAAAAAAAAAACAGGAUUGUGCCCUCUAAACUUUUAAGAUACCACUUGCACAUAGAAGCCCCGUCCCAGCGACUCCAGUGUCGGCUGGGAUGGGGCUUCUAUGUGCAAAUGGUAUCUUAAACUUAGUUUAGUAGCCAAUCAUGACUUUUUUUUUUACCUUGAGGGCAUGACCUGUACUCCCAGAAAGACUAUUUGCCAAAGAUAUUAUUGACAUGGCAUAAAUAACUAUCAUUGUUUUUUUUUACCUUGAGGGCAUGACCUGUACUCCCAGAAAGACUAUUUGCCAAAGAUAUUAUUGACAUGGCAUAAAUAACUAUCAUUAUGUUCAAGAUGGUAUACUGAAUGUUUAUUGUUUUAAUGUGAAUGUUAAGUGAAUAAAUACACAACAAUAAUAUAAA